AUCGCUUCUCGGCCUUUUGGCUAAGAUCAAGUGUAAAAGUAAUACUGCUAAAGCAUGGUAAGGACAAAAGUCAUUAGUACUCAUUAUAUAUAUGUAUUUUUAAAAAAGUGCCAAAGAAAAAAGUAUCAUGAUUUUCUUUCCAGAUCUGAGCUCUACUUGAUGAAGACAGUACUCAGAAAUGCCU